rnacentral:rRNA from 1 species
AACAGAGAGUGCCUCGCAAGAGGAGCCUGGAGACAGGUGCUGCAUGGCUGUCGUCAGCUCGUGUCGUGAGAUGUUGGUUAAGUCCGCAACGAGCGCAACCCCUAUCUUUAGUUGCCAUCAUUGAGUUGGGCACUCUAAAGAGACUGCCGGUGUCAAACCGGAGGAAGGUGGGGAUGACGUCAAGUCCUCAUGGCCUUUAUGACCAGGGCUACACACGUACUACAAUGGCCGGUACAAAGGGCAGCGACACAGCGAUGUGAAGCGAAUCCCGAAAAGCCGGUCUCAGUCCGGAUUGGAGUCUGCAACUCGACUCCAUGAAGUUGGAAUCGCUAGUAAUCGCGGAUCAGCACGCCGCGGUGAAUACGUUCCCGGGCCUU